AACGGGCUGAUUAUAUAUUUAAAAAGAACAGUGAUAUUAAAAUAGUCCUCUGACGCUGCGGUCUGCCGGCUGCACGAAGUGGGACAGUAGAGUGGGACGACUGGUCAGGAGGGUCAGUUCAGCUGUGGUCUGUCCCCUGGACUCUACAGGUGAGGGCGAGGAGGACGUUGGCCACCGUGAAGAACGCCUCUUACCCUCCCCUCUGGACAGCAGAGCACCUACAGUACAUUUUUAUUUAUAAUACAUUUUAAAUUAUCUACCUAGAUUUGUCUUGCUGCUGUGACAAUUCAAUUUCCUCCUCGGGGGGAUGAAUAAAGUCUUAUUUUAUCUGGUCUUAUCUUCUGAGAUAUUUUAGGUACAAUAAUAGAUAUUUCUAGUCUCGAGCGUAAAGAACUAGAUUUCAUUCGUCUCUGUCUGCCAUGACAUUUCUCUUGUCGUCCCUCGUUCAUCUGAUAGGCGGAGCAUCCCGUUGUUACGACUUCUCUCCUGGAAGCUGAACACAGAUGAGGGGAGAGCUGAAGAAGAUGAAGGAACGAGAAUCCAUCACGAAAGAAUCGUCUAGCCAGGAUCCCAUUAGGUUGAUGACAAGAGGCUGAGUCAAAGGCAGAGCACCUGGGUCCAUGUGGGUGCCUUCGCUGCAGAUGGCA